GAUUAACGCUAGCGGCAGGCCUAAUACAUGCAAGUCGAACGGCAGCACGGGUAGCAAUACCUGGUGGCGAGUGGCGCACGGGUGCGUAACGCGUAUGCAAUCUACCUAUAACUGGGGAAUAGCCUUCCGAAAGGAAGAUUAAAACCGCAUAAUAUCACGAAGCGGCAUCGUUUUGUGAUCAAAUCUCCGGAGGUUAUAGAUGAGCAUGCGUGACAUAGCUAGUUGGUGAGGUAACGGCUCACCAAGGCUACGAUGUCUAGGGGGUCUGAGAGGAUGAUCCCCCACACU
rnacentral:rRNA from 1 species